GUGUCAGCCGCCGCGGUAAUACGGGGGGAGUAAGCGUUGUUCGGAUUUACUGGGCGUAAAGGGCGGGUAGGCGGCCACCGCAAGUCAGUUGUGAAAUCUCUGGGCUUAACCCAGAAAGGUCAACUGAUACUGCGGGGCUAGAGUGCAGAAGGGGCAACUGGAAUUCUCGGUGUAGCGGUGAAAUGCGUAGAUAUCGAGAGGAACACCUGCGGCGAAGGCGGGUUGCUGGGCUGACACUGACGCUGAACUGCGAAAGCUAGGGGAGCGAACGGGAUUAGAUACCCCGGUAGUCCUAGCCUUAAACGAUGAAUGCUUGGUGUCUGGGGUUUUAUAGUCCCCGGGUGCCGUCGCUAACGCUUUAAGCAUUCCGCCUGGGGAGUACGGUCGCAAGACUGAA
rnacentral:rRNA from 1 species